GACGUAGGAUGCGAGCGUUGUCCGGAUUUAUUGGGCGUAAAGAGUUCGUAGGUGGUUUGUUAAGUCCGAUGUUAAAGACUGAGGCUCAACCUCGGAAAUGCAUUGGAUACUGGCAGACUUGAGUACAGUAGAGGCAAGUGGAAUUCCCAGUGUAGCGGUGAAAUGCGUAGAUAUUGGGAAGAACACCAGUGGCGUAAGCGACUUGCUGGGCUGUUACUGACACUGAGGAACGAAAGCCAGGGGAGCAAAUGGG
rnacentral:rRNA from 1 species